UGUGCGUAGGAGACGUGAGGAGAAGGAGAAGGGCUGACAUCGGUAUUACAUCCUGGGGAGGCGACGUAACAUUAGUGAGGGGAAAAAAAACAAGAAACUUAACAUCAUUAGGAAUUAUAGCUUCAGCUAUUUAAACAUGUCUGGUGUGGCAUCCAAAAUACUGUUCUUCAACGUGAAAUAACUUAAUGAUCCUACAUACGCAGGAUAGAAGUGUAGGAAGCUCAUUUUCAUCAUUAUCACACACUUAAAGGGUAGAGAAGAAACUCUGAAAAGGUGUGGCAAAUGUGGAGAAAAAGAGUGGGAAGAAUUAAAAAGUGAUUUAAGGGUGCAAGAAAUGGAUGUAGGGAAACAUGAGAAAAGGAGAAUAUUGCUAAAGAAGAGAAAUCUCAGCCCACCAAAGCAAAACCCAGCCUGAGCAAAGAUAAAAUGGAAGAAUAACUGGGAAAAGAGCAAUUAAGAUUUAAAUGAAGGGCACCCUCCAGGAAUCGUACAUCUGUAAUCUCCCUGAUAUUGUCCACAGUCACUGAUACUCCCUCUUCGGGCCUGUGGGUCAAGACUGGUAUCAAAGUCUCUGUUCAGACUGGGAUGCUCGCAAGAAUCCAAGCUACUAAAAAAGGAAUUUACUGAGUGAGUGCCUUUCACCUUGAAGAUAUGAUUCAGCUCCUGAAGAAAUACACCCUCAAGUCCUUGGCAUCAAAGAUACAAUUUUGCAAUUUUUAGGGGGCUGCACUGGAAGACAGAGCAGCCUGCAGGUGGAAAGAGGCAGGGAACAAGGACAUCUUCCUUUACUCUAUGUCUUAUAGGGCAGCUGGUUAAGGUGACAAUGGUGGAGGGGAAAAAAAAGUAAGUCAGUCCCAGAGCUGUAUUGGGAAUGGAGAGCGUUAGCAGCAGCAGCAGCAGCAUGGGCCACUGCUUCUCCUUCUUUCUUCCUCUAGCAGUCAGACAGAUAAUAGAUUUAUGAAGUGUUUGAAACAUGUAACAGAAACGGGAACAUAGCCAGUCACAACCAUCACUGGAAACAGGAAAUAGAUCAUUUUCUUUACUGACCACUGUCACUAUUGAAGUCCCUCUGAGAAAAGGGCAAGCUGAAGUUCUCCCAGACCUGGGAACCAAGGUGCCAGGAUUCCUGGAACCAAUAACCUUCCUCCCACCUCCAGACUGGGGUGAAGUGAUGAAUUACACAAAUGUAGAGUGAGGGAGCAGAGGGAAUAUAGAGCAGUGUAUGUGGGAGAUUCCAAAUUUUGUCCUUAGUAAGAUGAAUGGGAGACUGAGGUUCCAAGACUACUUUCAGUGUAGUUGAGCACACUGUUCUUAAAUAGGUAAAAUAUGAGAUCCAGGAACUAUAGUAUAUGUUUCCUGGGGAGAUCAGGCUUUAGUUCGUUCAAUUCGUAUGCUAAUAUCAAUUAGAAUAUCUAUUUCAAAACCAUAUUGCCAGUUAUCAAAAGAAGUAAUUUAUAAAUAAAAUAAAGAUGAAAUCAAAACAUUAUACACCAACUUGAAACGCAUUCUUAAAAAUUUCAUUAGGGAAGAAAUAUGUCUUUUCAUACUUUUCAGAAUAAAUAUUCUCCACCCUCCCACAAAGGUCAGAGUUUCCAAUAGGAAAAAAAUUGCAGAAUUGGUAAGUAGCACUAAUAUGAAUGCUUUAGAAAAAAUGCCAUCUCUUCUUUACUAGUUGAGAAAACAGUGACAUAGCAUUUAUCAGAGCCUAAUGUCCAUUUUGUGUACUGUAUCUACAAAUUAUAUCACAAAUAAAAAAAUUAUCUUUGCACAUCCAAUAAAGAAUAUUGGGAAAAAUGGGAAACUUUCUUUACCAUUAAUAAGAUGGGAAACUUUCUUCUGUAGAGGCAAUAAACAACAUUUUUUCAUCUGUCAGUACUUCUGUAUAUGAUCAAGUACAUGAAGUAUGUUUCAUGAACCAUUGAAAAACUAUAAUGUUGCCUGAGAUGU